AUUGAACGCUGGCGGCAUGCCUUACACAUGCAAGUCGAACGGUAACAGGUCUUCGGAUGCUGACGAGUGGCGAACGGGUGAGUAAUACAUCGGAACGUGCCCGAUCGUGGGGGAUAACGGAGCGAAAGCUUUGCUAAUACCGCAUACGAACUACGGAUGAAAGCAGGGGACCGCAAGGCCUUGCGCGGACGGAGCGGCCGAUGGCAGAUUAGGUAGUUGGUGGGAUAAAAGCUUACCAAGCCGACGAUCUGUAGCUGGUCUGAGAGGACGACCAGCCACACUGGGACUGAGACACGGCCCAGACUCCUACGGGAGGCAGCAGUGGGGAAUUUUGGACAAUGGGCGCAAGCCUGAUCCAGCCAUGCCGCGUGCAGGAUGAAGGCCUUCGGGUUGUAAACUGCUUUUGUACGGAACGAAAAGACUCUUUCUAAUAAAGAGGGUCCAUGACGGUACCGUAAGAAUAAGCACCGGCUAACUACGUGCCAGCCGCCGCAGUAAAAC
rnacentral:rRNA from 1 species